rnacentral:rRNA from 1 species
GACGAACGCUGGCGGCGUGCUUAACACAUGCAAGUCGAACGGAAAGGCCCUGCUUUUGUGGGGUGCUCGAGUGGCGAACGGGUGAGUAACACGUGAGUAACCUGCCCUUUACUUUGGGAUAACUUCAGGAAACUGGGGCUAAUACCGGAUAGGAGCUCCUGCUGCAUGGGGGGGGUUGGAAAGUUUCGGCGGUGGGGGAUGGACUCGCGGCUUAUCAGCUUGUUGGGGGGGGAGUGGCUCACCAAGGCUUUGAAGGGUAGCCGGCCUGGGUGGGUGACCGGCCACAUGGGGACUGAGGUACGGACCAGUCGCCUACGGGAGGCAGCAGGGGGGAAUAUUGCACAAUGGGCGGAAGCCUGAUGCAGCAACGCCGCGUGCGGGAUGACGGCCUUCGGGUUGUAAACCGCUUUCGCCUGUGACGAAGCGUGAGUGACGGUAAUGGGUAAAGAAGCACCGGCUAACUACGUG